GCCCGCGUGGUGGAAAGGUAGACACAGGGGACUUAAACUCCCCAGACUUCGGUCGUGCCGGUUCGAUCCCGGCCGCGGGCACCA
rnacentral:tRNA from 2 species